rnacentral:ncRNA from 1 species
CUACAGAGGCGCUCAAUUACUAUUGGAAGUUAUGACUGACAUAACUCCGUCCGAACCUGCUGAAAAGAACCCAAAACCUGUACCCCGACAAACUUCUAACAGUGCACCCACUCGGCCACCCAUCAGUCUAAUGCCUGACGCCUUCAGCAUCGCCCUCCGCCAUCGCACACACAGGUCAACAACAAAUACGGUGUAACCCAACGCAUUCCCUCAAACGAGUGGAAUUAUUGAUGCAGGUUCAUAUCUCCGCAAUCAAACCCGUCCGCUCGCCGUUCCCGGUACAUCUCAGGCAGGAUUGUCCUCAGCGUGGUUGCGUGGAUGAACUCUUACCUCCUCACAACGAUCGAAGAGAGAUGUGACGGAGAUCUUAGGGACAGGACCGGGAGUUGGUGACACAACUGACCCGGAGAAGCCGUCGGGAGCCCCGGGGAGAGCUCUCCUUAAUUUGUUCACCCCAAGAGAGGGACCGGCGCCUCGGAAGGCGUCGCGGUUCCGGUGGCGUCCGGCAAGCUCUCACUGACCCGUGAAAAUCCGGAGGGAAAGGGUGUACGACCGGCGCUGGGAUGUACCCGUGUCCGCAGCAGGUCUCCACGGUGAACAGCCUCCGGCACGUCGGAGCAAUGCAGGUAAGGGAAGUCGGCAAGCGGGAUCCGUAACGUCGGGAUAAGGGAUGGGGCGGUGGGGAUGGGCACACACCGCGGUGGCGACUCUGGACACGCACCGGGUCUUCCCCGUGCAUCGUCCGUGGGCUGGAGGGCUCCCACGGCGCGUGCGGGCACACACGGCCACGCGGUUCGGUGUUGGUCGGAAGCACGGCACACCUCUCCGGCAGCCGCAGCCCGGCCC